ACCAGAGAGUACAGACAGCCCUGAUUAGCUGAGUCACACAAGGCUUUACCAGUUGGUUGAUCAGUAACCUCUCGACCUCAAGGAUAUGAGACAGAUCCCCAAGUCCCCAGUAGUAACCAGAAUUCAAGAGAGAUUGGCCUUGUGGGUACACUUGGCUUCCCAGCCAAAUGAGAGACUAUGGAAGUGGAGUUAUGGAAAGGUCUCAGGGGUGAGUUUUCACAAAUGCUUGACAAUGACCUAACCCAGGACUCCAAGGGCACAGGUAGAAGUGAACAAGAGACAGUUAGUCAGCCCUUUUAACCAGAUCUGGAUGUGAAUACCCACUUUUCUGGCUGCCUGCCUUAGGAUUCAAACAUGAAGGCAAGCAUUUCACCAUUGAGCUACACCUUCAGCCUGAAAUUAUUCCUCUUAGAAUGAAGACACUCUCCAGGAAGAGCCUGGGUGGGAUGCCAACUAUGAGGUUGCUCCAUAAAUGCUGAGUCAGAGCCAAGCAGUCAACAGCAGUAGCACACUGUCACUGUGUGUCAUCACCCCUGUCUCAGGAAACAAGGAGGAGGAAGCCCGAGAGUGGAAUUCUGAGCUUUGGCUACAUUCUCCUCUAAGAAGCUGGAGUGAAGACAACUUCGGGAUGCUGGAGGAUUCACUGACAAUGGGGAGAAGCUGCUUGGGAAUAGGAGGCCUUCAGGGAUUUCAUUAGAUGUUGGUGCCCCACCCCAUAUCCAUGGAAUGCCAGGGUCCAGGAACUCACAGUGAGCAGAUACCUUGUCCCUGCCACCUACAUGGCUGGCACUAGAGUGUGAAAUGCAGAGAAACCACAACCAUGGCACUGCUGUAUAAAGCCCCCUCCAGUCAAGGUAAAUGUGCAGAAACCAAGACUUGCAGAUGAAUUGUGACCUGUGCACAUGUAAUUUUCAUGGGUUCAACCCACACACAGAGUAGGGCAAGACUGAAAAAGAGAGAUGUAGGCUACUUGACAGUAAAGAACUAACAAAGCAAUAAAAUCUUAGCCAGGGCACUUGGGAGGCUGCAGU